AUUGAACGCUGGCGGCAGGCCUAACACAUGCAAGUCGAACGAGUGGCGGAAGGGGGAGUAAUGUCUGGGAAACUGCCCGAUGGAGGGGGAUAACUACUGGAAACGGUAGCUAAUACCGCAUACCCUCGGAUGUGCCCCGAUGGGAUGAGCUUGUAGGGGAGGUAACGGCUCACAUAGUCGACGAUCCCUAGCUGGUCUGAGAGGAUGACCAGCCACACUGGGACGGAGACACGGGCCAGACUCCUACGGGAGGCAGAAGUGGGGAAUAUUGCACAAGGGGCGCAAGCAUGAUGCAGCCAUGCCGCGUGUAUGAAGAAGGCCUUCGGGUUGUAAAGUACUUUCAGCGGGGAGGCGUUACCCGCAGAAGAAGCACAGGCUAACUCCGUGCCAGCAGCCGCGGUAAUUC
rnacentral:rRNA from 1 species